GACGUGCUGAGUCUGCCACAGGAACUCACUCAUUUGUGUGUGAGUCUGGUGGGCAGAGACGAUUGUUUUAAAUCCAGGAAUAUGCACUUAAAAUUUCUUGAAUUGGGCAAGUAGCAAAAAUCUUUUAAAUCCAUUGUUCUAUUUUGACAGUUUCAGAGCUUGUUGUAAGUUUCAGUCCACCUUGACUGAAAUGUCACGGCCAUCGAAGAAUAAAGAACAAGUUUUCUGCAGACAAAAGGCAGACCUCAUGGAAUGAAUAACUGCAGGAGACUUGUUCCAGAAAAUUAGCUCUGUUACCAUCCUGCUCCGAGAAGUAACUUGGGCUGAAGCUUUGGAUGAUCAGGAUUCACCCCUGCCGACUGAAAAAUAAAUUCCAGCAAUCUCAUAUCAAAUCCACUGAAAACUUGUUCAAUGAUUCAUUCAGUUUUUGAUUUUUUUCCCUUUUUUAAAUAGCAGUUUUAAAAAUGUUAUUAGA